rnacentral:rRNA from 1 species
UACGUAGGGUGCAAGCGUUGUCCGGAAUUAUUGGGCGUAAAGAGCUCGUAGGCGGUCUGUCGCGUCGGCUGUGAAAACCUGGGGCUCAACCCCGGGCCUGCAGCCGAUACGGGCAGACUAGAAUUCGGUAGGGGAGACUGGAAUUCCUGGUGUAGCGGUGAAAUGCGCAGAUAUCAGGAGGAACACCGGUGGCGAAGGCGGCCAUCUGGCUCGGUACUGACGCUCAGGCGCGAAAGCGUGGGGAGCAAACAGG